GGGUUCGGGAGGCAGGCGACCCAGCGUCGCACUGCAGAGUCAAGAGGACUCGGGCUGCCGCGGCGCCGCGGUUGUCGGCCUUGGUUUCUCCCGCCCUGCCCGAGCGCGGCGGCGCCGCUCGCCGGAAUCCGGAUACCACCGGCGACUCGGUCGGCCCCUUCCGGCUGGUUCCGGCGUCCGCCUUGGCAUGAGGCUGCUGCGCCUGCUGCUGCCGCGGGGGCUGCGGCUCGGGAAGCUCCGCGCUUCCGCAGGCCUGGCCUCCGCGGCCCGGCACCCCGCCACCGGUCUCUGGACCCCGCCCCGGCCCCGAGCGCCGCCCUCCGUCCCCGGGCCCCGCCCCGGCCUCCGCCUCGGCCUCGCCUCCAGUCCCGGGCUACGGACUGCCACCCCUACCAUCGCUGGUGCUGCGGUUAUCCCAGACGCGCCGCCCGCUUGCGCUGCGACCAUGGAGCGCCCCGGAGCGGGAGGAAUUAAUUCCAAUGAGUGUGAAAAUGUAUCAAGAAAAAAGAAAAUAUCAGAGGAAUUUGAAGCCAGUACUAUGGAUUUCCUGGUAGACAUGCCAUUUGCUACUGUAGAUAUUCAGGAUGACUGUGGAAUCACUGAUGAACCUCAGAUAAAUUCGGAGAGAAGUAAAGAAAAAGAAAGGAUCAAGAGUGAUCGAGUAAAGAAGAGGAAACCAAAGCGAAAAGAUUAUCAACCCAACUAUUUCCUGUCCAUUCCAAUCACCAACAAAGAGAUUAUAAAAGGAAUUAAGAGCCUGCAAAAUGCAGUAAUACAACAAGAUAAGCGACUGGCCCAAGCAAUGGUCAGAGAUGGUUCCUUUCAUAUUACACUGCUGGUGAUGCAAUUAUUAAAUGAAGAUGAAGUAAACAUUGGUACUGAUGCUCUUUUGGAAUUGAAACCAUUCAUAGAAGAACUCCUCCAAGGAAAACAUUUGUCUUUGCCCUUUGAAGGGAUUGGCACUUUUGGAAAUCAGGUUGGAUUUGUGAAGCUGGCAGAAGGCGAUCAUGUAAACUCACUUUCGGAGAUAGCAGAGACUGCAAAUAGGACAUUUCAAGAAAAAGGCAUCCGGGCAGGAGAGAGCAGAAGUUUUAAGCCUCAUUUGACCUUCAUGAAGUUGUCAAAAGCACCGUGGCUCCGUAAGAAUGGAGUGAAAAAAAUAGAUCCUGAUUUAUAUGAAAAGUUUAUCAGUCACAGAUUUGGAGAAGAAAUAUUAUAUCGCAUAGAUCUUUGCUCCAUGGAGAAGAAAAAACAAAGUAAUGGUUAUUAUCACUGUGAAUCUUCCAUUGUGAUUGGCUGACAGGGAUAUGAUUAAGAAAAUUUCAUCCCUACUUAGACCAAUUAUGAUGAAUUUAUUUCAAGCAUUUUUGAAGAGGGAACAUUUGAAAAAAGAGUUUAUUAUCUGAGAGAACUGUAUACUUUUUUUUUCACUUGGUAACCUAGCAGUUAGAAAUUUUCUUUAAGAAUUAUGGAGUAAUUUAUUUAACAAGUGCUGACUACAGAUAUUUCCUUAUUUAUUUUAUGAUAUACAAAUUGGGUGACCAUAUGACUUACCAUAUAAAUGGUACACUUGUAAGUAUAAAAGGGGAUCUAUUAGUUACUAGGCUGGUAUAAAAGAAGAAAAUCAAGACUCUCCUGACUUAACUGGGACUUAGAUCACCCAACCUAAAAAGGUAUAACGUUUUUGAAAAAGCGGAACCUUUGACAUUCUAAAUACUCUAAUUGCCAGUCUGGUUUCUUUUGCUGUCCUAAAUGUCCUCUUUAUAUGUUUCUUUGAUGAAACAUGCCUUCUAAAAAGAAAAUGUUUAAAAUUUGUUAUAUGCCCCUAAUAAAAAUGAAAAGCAACAAAUAAUUGAAACUCUUAGCUUAUUUAUUUACAUCUGCCUAAGUUAGAUGAAGCUUUGGGAUAAGUAACUGAGAAAAUUAAUCUUAGAGAUGGCUCACUAUAUUUUAACUGGUAUAUCAGCUAUUAAUUUGGAUGCUAACACAAAGUGGCAGCUGUGGCUCAGGCUAUUUUGAAUAUCCAACCAUCUGUUGGCCUGGUUUCAAACCUUAUGAUUUAUGUUAGACAUCUUGCGAACCCUGCAUAUUAAAGGGGCAGUGCUAAGUGGUAAAUUUAACUAUCUGAAAAAUUACGCAUCACUACUAAAAUGAUGCAGUAGUAAGUUAUUUCAUGAGUUAUUUGUGGAGCCUUCAGUUUAAAGUUUAUUCUUAAAAAUAUGAAGGUAAAUACUGAAUUCCAAAUAAACAGGAAAAAUAAAGCCAUGUGAAUGAAAUUCUUAGAGUGCAGAGUCUGAUCAGACAAGCCAUUAACAUAAUUAUGAAUUACUAGUUGCCAAAAGUUCUGUCUAACUAGUCCAUGACAUUGCCUCAUUGCCUCUGAACACAUUUUUCACCACAUUAAUCAAUGUUUAUUAUUGUUUUAAAAGUGCUUAGCACAGUGCUUGACAUAUAGUGUUAUAAAAACGUUACUGGCUGGGCAGUGGCUCAUGCCUGCAAUCCCAGAACCUUGGGAGGCCGAGGUCGGGAGUUAAAACCCAGCCUGGCCAACAUGGCGAAACCCUGUCUCUACUAAAAAUAUGAAAAAAGUCAGCCAGGCAAUCACAGCUACUUGGGUGGCUGAGGCAGGAAAAUUGCUUGAACCUGGGAGGCAGAGGUUGUAUGAGCCGAGAUCACCCCGCUACACUUCAGUUUGGGGACAACGCAAGACUCUGUCUCGAAAAAAGAAAAUGUUACUUAUUCAUAUCAAUGGCAGUGCUAGUCAUAUAGAAUACUUAUUGCAGUGGUAUUCUUUCUUAACAUCAGAACAUCAGUUUUCUAGUUAUUAAAGAUUUGCAUUAUUCCUAAUGCUUUCCUUAAAUUGACAUGGGGUCAACACUGGUGCAUGUCAAAUGUAAAGAUGCUUACAUGUGUGUGUAUAUAUAAUUUAUAUAUUUAUAUGAUAUUUUAUAUUGUGUACAUAUAAUUUGUGUAUAUAAAUACAAAGGUGAAUAUUAAAAAUUUGGUUUAAUUUUUUGACUAGAAAAACAAAGUUGGCAAAUCUAUAUAACAUAGUGUUAUUUUUUUUAAAAAUCUUGCUAAUAUGGUGAAAUUAUAAUAGGCAGACUUAUAAAACUCAUUAAAUUCUUCUCCAUUUUAGUGAAACAUGGAGGAAUCGGAGAGAAUGUAGAAUAGUAGAAAGAGAUAGAGAGAGAAAGAGCUCAAACUACAGAGGAAAACAUAGUGACCAGAAGUUCCAGGCAGAGCUUGUUCUAAUGGUCACUGCCACUUCCCACUUUCCAGCUGCCCAACUGUUUGCACAUUUUUAAUGACUUGAAACCCAGUUACCACAUCUAUAAUAUAGAGAUAAGCAUAGUUGUUAGUUCAUGAGGACUGAAUGAGAUAAUGCAUGAAAAUCUCUUGGCAUCAUGCUUGGCACAUCCUCAGUGUUCAUUAACUGGUGCCUAUUAUUAUUGUUGUAGAAUUGCUACAAAUUGUAUACAGAAUUCUUAAGCCCAGGACAAACAAGGCUCAAGAGUGACUUAUGGUAGGGUUAGUCUAAAAUAAAUAAAAUAUCUAUUUCUUCUUAAUCUUAAUACACUAUUCUAAGCAUUAGGAAAAACCUUGAACUCUAAAGGAUUGUUAAGACACUGGAACAAGGUGCUAAGGGAUUUGUAAAAUAUCUUGACUGUCUUUUAAGAUGGAAGAGAGUAUCAUUUAUGAAGUUAUCUAACCUGGAGGUCUAAAUCACCUCAUGAAGUCUCUUUUGUCAUUAGAAUUCGUGAAACCCCUAUUUUGCCUUAAAUUUUAUUUUAUUUUUGUCCCAGCAAGACCUUGCUUACUAUUGCAUCUCGCAUUAAUUGGAAGGGAGGUAAUACAAUUCUCAAUCUCUAGCUCUGUUUUAAAAUUCAAUUCAAUUUUAUCCUUUUUUGUUAUAUGGUUACUCUUAAAAUAUGAAUGGGGGUAGUGAAGUAUGACGAGUGAGUAAAUGGGUCUUGGUUGUCACACUGGCAGACUGAAUUUAGGAUUCAUUGGUAUUGCCUGAGUUACCAGUUCAUUCAUAGCACUUUCUUGGUAUGUGAAGCAUUAUUAACUACUGUGCACAUAAAGUCUUCCCUUUACUUUAAAACUUCUUCAGUUCAAUUUUGGUUAUUAUAAUUUAUUUGUGCAAUUUAUUGAACAGCUAUUUAUUGAGGCUACCAACUGCCAAGCAUUAUGCUGUGUAUUAAAGAUCAAAGAUGGACAAACACAGCCGUGGUCUCAGAGUUUACUUUCUAGUGGGAAGUUAUGCAAACAAAUGACUACAAUUUAAAGUGAUAAUAAGGGUAAUGAAGCUAAUGGGAACCAAGUGAGGGUGCUUUUAAUGCUGCCAGGGAUUGUCAGGACAGGCUGCACAGAAGAGGAAAGUUUUGAACUGAAAAUGAGAAUGUUCAGUGCGGAGGGAGGCAAAUGAGAGAUUUUCCAGGCCAAGGAAGCUGCAUAAGAGUCUGUGCAGGGACGUGUAAGUAAUUCACUCUGCACAUGAAUAACUUGUCUUUAAGCAGUUCAGAUCUCAUUUUGUAGAGAAUGGGAGCCAGCAACAUUCUUGGAGCUGGAAAUGACAUGAUCAGAUUUGUGCUUAAGAAAAGACACUCUACUGGUAUGGUAUAAGCAUGAUGCAAUGGCUGAAUCAGCAAGACCAGUAAGUAGACAGGAGUGGCAGUCUAGAGCGGUCAUGAUAAUUGCCUGCACUUGGCAUUUGCAGUGGAUGGUGAUGGAGAAGGUGGGGUGCAUUGCAGAUCUCGGUAGGCAGGUAUUUUAAGGUUUUGGGUAGAUUUUGAAAAACAGAAGAGAACCCUAAGUUGGCUCCCAGAUUUGGGAUUUAGACAACUAGGUAGACAAUAGUGCCCUAUACCAAUGUACAGGAUAAAAAAGAAAACAGAUUUUGGUGACAAGAUGAUGAGUUCAAUUCUGGGCACAUGAGAGCAGCUGUGGCCCAAUCAAGGGGCUUGUUGAGGAGAGAGGUCCAGGACAUAUAUUGUGUGUAUACACACACACACACACACACACACACAGGAUUCAGUGGCAUUAGGUUAGUAGUUCAAGCAAUGGGUAUGAAUGAAAGAGUGGAAGAGUACCUGGAAAACCUAGAACUUGAGAUUUGCUUUGCAGCUAGUUACGUGAGAUAUGUAUUGAAAGGACAGGGACCUUAAACAAGAGGCUAUGACAGAGAUAAAACGUUGUGGAAAUUAUUUCCAUAAGUAUGACAAAUUUGUUAAUUGUGUCUUGUUGGUCUGUGGAAAAGCAGUAGCCUAAAAAUGUCUCUCUAUGAUUCAAGAUUGCAUCUUCUACAGAGAAACCUCAUUUUGGUAGAAAUGAGGAUAAUGAAAGCUAAAGAAACACAGAGUAUAUUUUAUUUCCCUUUAUGAAGUUUAAAUUCUGUUUUUUUUCCCAUUAACCCACAUAGAUUCUUUGAUAUUGUAUCUGACUUGAAUAUGUUUUAUAUAUAAUGCUUAAGGGACGAAGUGUGAGCAACUGAGAAAACAUCAGUUUGUCAAUUCAUGAAUUGUGGUUCUAUAUGAUCUUUUAUUGACUAAUGAUUCAGGUGAAUAUUUUGUCUUGAUUCUGGCUAUGAGUAAAGGAAGCUGUAUUUGACCAUCACAGUUGUAUAUUUGGUUCCAAAGAACCAUAGCUGCCAAAUAUAUGUUCAUUGCCAACAACUUGGAUUAUGAUAAGUGGAAGCUUUUACUUAAGCAGUCAGUCUUAGUAUAAUAAAGUUUCAAGAAAGGCAAUUCACAGUUUUGCUUCUUGUUCUCCAGCCAUGUAUUUUAGCAAUUAUAAUUUUGUUUAUUAGAGUGGCAUACAUUAAUCCAUAUGUGAUAGUUUUUUAAUUAGCAUGACACUCUUUUUCAGUAAUUUACUUUUUAAGGCUUUUUCCCCCUUUUUUUCUAUAUAAAAUUACAUAAAUAAUACCCUUUUAAUCACGUUCUUAAUAUUAAUUAACCAAAAAGCAGAUACACAUUUUUAUUAAAAGGUAAACAUGGAACACGAGCAGACACUAGUGGCUUGCCUAUUCUGAGUCCAUUUUCUUUGCCUUCACUGGGAUACUGUGGGCUUCAGACAAAGUGGUCCUGACUUUUGCCCCGAAGGUGAUUGGCUCCAUUCUUCUUCGUAGUGAUUAGUGUAGGAAGUGGCAUGUGACCCAAUUUCAAUGUAUGUGAGAAGUCUGCUGGAACAUCAGCAGUUGUCUUGUACUUGAUCUACUGACUAGUAUUUGUAUUAUGGGAGAUGGCUGCUAAUGCAGGUGCCUUUAAUCUGUUAAUGCUCUAGACCUUUCAGAGGAGAAACUAAUGUCCUUCACAAGAAGAAAAGAAGCAUAUUUCAGAAAUACCAGUAGGACCAUUGAGUUGAUAAAAAGACAUUUAGAGGGAAGAGAAUACCAUUUUUUAGCUGGCAAUUGUUGGGUAUGCAUGUGGUGGCCUUUGCUGCCAUUCUUAGCCAUGGGGGACACUGCGUGCCUAUAAGUACACAUGCUGAGCCUGGGACACUAGGAAGGUGAGUAAUGAUGAUCUUGUCAAGCCACUGAAUUAACCGCCCCUAGAGUGACACUACCAUAGCUUAUAGGAUUAUAGAAGAUAAUGACAUUUCUUUAUUUUUAAACCAGAUGAAUCAAGAAUUUUUGGUGUUUGCAGCUGAGUGCAUCCUAACCGAUACAAAUUUCAGUUGUGGAUUAAGAAAUAUAUGGACAGAAAAUAGAUUCAGUGGGAUAUUUAAACGACCCUUCUGACAGUUACCACAUGUUUUAGAAGCAUCCAUAAACAGACUAAUCAGAAUGAAUACUGACAUAGCGUAUCGGAGGCAUGUCAGACGGGGCCAUGGUGAACCAUGACAGAGUUUGAGACCUGCCAAGAGCAACCUUGAUUUAAUGGCAUUUUAUCUGGUAUAAAUAAUUUUUGUUAUUUUCAGGAUUCACUUUCAUUUCUCCUUAUCUUUUUAAAUUAUUAUUAGAGGAAAAAAAGCUUUAAUAAUAAUAUGUUGAGUUAUUAAAGUACCUUUUAUUUGAAGCUUGACAUACCAGGAAAUGUGACUGACUGUUAUCUUGCCCAAGGUCAAACAGUGGACCACUUUCAGAGCUAAAUAUAGAUUGAAAGCAUUCCACAGAAGGAAUAAUUAGGACCUCUGAAAACCUCCAAUGCCUUAGAAAUUGUAGAACCAAAUUUUCUGUUGUUUACAUUGUUAAACUACAAGUAACAUCUUCUCAUCGGGUCCUGUUGCUGUUUCUGAAAUAUGUUUCUUUUCUUCUUGUGAAGGAUCUUGGUUUCUCCUCUGAAAGGUCUAGGGCAUUAAAAGAUCAAAAGCAUUUGACUAAGAAAGCCAUGUCUGAUAAUACAAAUACUGGUCAGUAGAUUAAGUAUAUUCUUUGCUUUUCCUUUUUAUUUUUUCAAAUAAGGUUUUAACUUCCAAACAUUUAACUUAUUUUUGAGGAAGUAACUCCUAUCAGUUUUUGUGAUUUCAUUAAUGCUUGAAAAAAGGUCAGACUGUAAAAAGCAGAGCUGAACAGUGUCUGUUUAGAAUAAAUGACUGUUACUGGCCUUUGUUCUCUUGUUAUUGCUUUGGAUUAAUAAAACUGUCCAAUGUGAUUUGCCACAGUGGGAAUGCUGGGCUCCUUCCAGCUCCCUUAGGGCCAUGACUUCAAAUGUGGGGCUCGUACCCUCCCUGGGCUCUGGCUCUCUCACCUACUCUGGCUGCACUCUUUGACACAAGAGUUAACUUUACCACAAGAGCUUAUGUGAUGAUCAUGUUAGCUCGUAGCAUGUGUUCAAUAAACGGUGGCUGGAAUCAAACUGAUAACAGAGUAUGCUGUAAAUGUGAGGUGUCCAGAUAUGUGCUGGGACUUGUCAGCCCUUCUUUCAGCCUCCUACCUCUAGUGUUCUACUGCUGUCUGUCCUCCAAGCAGGGAGAUAAAGUUUCCUCACUAACUUCUCAAUUAUGGAAAAGGCUUUGACUAUACAUGCCGUUAAAUGUUGGGCCACACACAUAGAAAAUAACUGACUGAAUAGUAACCAUAGAGUAGGCAUUUGAAAAUUGGCACUAGGCAGAAAUGCAUCAGCAGAGAUUUUGGAAUGACUCUUGUAGAUUGGUAAAGAAUAAGGACUUCUUUUGUAGCUCUAGGUAUCUACUUGUUUCUUCCCGUUUUCUAAAUGCACAUAUGCUGUAUAUGGUACGUUAUGCUUUUCUCUCUUCUGUUUUAUAGAAAAAAAUUCUCUUUCUAAUUGCUGUACAUAUAAAAUUGUAUAGCAUAUGGCAGUUUCAUAUACAAAUACCUAUAACUUUCAGUUUUAGCGAAAAACAAAAGCACUGCAAAGAGAAGUAAAAAGUCUGUUGAAAAUAUGACCAAAGUAGGAAUUAUGGUUUUAAAAAAAGAUUCUUGGCUUCCAAAUAUCACAGUUAGACUAAUUCUUUUUGCAGGUAAUUAAGAACAGGACUUAACUAGUGAGAAUUUUAGAUAAUAUUUAAAGUUUUUUUAGUUGUGGUUUAAUGAUGUUGUUUCAGAAACUUUCGUUUGGUUACAAAAUAAUUACAAAGAUACAGCAGUGGCUAAAUGAUAAAGGAGCAUCUUUUGGGUCUGGGCGAUAGAUAUAUGCCUAUUGUGGAUUGAUUAUUGAGAGUUGCAUUCUUUUUUUUUUUUUUUGAGAUGGAGUCUUACACUGUCCCUAGGACUGGAGUGCAGUGGUGCGAUCUCAGCUCACUGCAACCUCUGCCUCCCAGGUCCAAGCAGUUCUCCUGCCUCAGCCUCCAGAGCAGCUGGGAUUACAGGUGCCUGCCAUCACACCUGGCUAAUUUUUUUGUAUUUCUAGCAGAGACAGGGUUUCACUACAAGAACACAGAGAAACAAAAUAUAAUAUCAAGUGUGUCCAUCCAAUCUCCUUCAGGCCCAGAAUAAUUGUUUGUCUUUUUGGUACCCAGUGGCAACAUAAAAAUUGGAAUAUAUUCCAAAACAUUCCAAUUUCCAUGAAUUAUGUUUCCACAAAUUGUCAAGCACUUCUUCAACUUAUAUACAUUUUCCUGGUAACUGUGACAUUUCUUGGCAUAACAGUUUCCAUAACUGGUCUACCUGCUGUGUAAUGAAAUCUUCCUAAAUUGUCUCUUUUGUACAUAAAAGUAUGUUUUGUGUCCUAAGGCUUGGUUCCAAAAUUUGAAAGGAUAAAAUGGUUUUUCUCUUUAUUUACACUUCAUGAUUUAAUGUCCUCUUUUCUCUCCUCUCUUUUGAAUAAAAGACAUUUACUGUUUUUUUUUCUUUUUCAUGUGUCUCUACAAAUUGUCAAACUCCAAUUUCCUUUAAUUAAUGAGUUGGAAGCCUCAGAAGAAUUGGUAAUUUGUACAGUUUUGGUAAGAAUUGGUAAUUUGUACAGUUUUGUAGAGUCAGACUCUUAUAGCGAGGAUUGGUUUUUAUUUUGACUCAGACUUUUCCAUGAGGUUUCUCAGAAAUAUUAUAUAUAUAUAUAUAUAUAUGUUCAGUUAUAGGUAGAUAAAGAUACUAACUAACAGAGAAUAGAGCUUUUGGUCAUAAUUAAGAAUUACCUUUUUCCAUUAGAGGCAGUAAUCAGAGCUGACAGUUCAAAGUACAUGGACAAGAGGCAGCUGCCACCCACCUCAUACUUUUUAGUUUCAUUCCUGCCAUUUUAAACAAUUAUAAUAAAAAACCUAAAAUAUGAUAGCAGAUAUAGGCAUCGGUCCUAACCAUGAUUUGUCUGUAGCCAGGCCUGGGAGAAAAGAAAGCAUGAAAAGGUUUUAAGUUUAUGAACAUAGUAUCAUAUCAGAUAUUUUUUCUCUUCAAGGUUAACCUUCUUUUUUAAAUUUUAGAGUAGACCUCCACAUACUACUGAGAAGAGUGUGUUAAUUCCCUAAUAAAAGGUCAUGAAUAUUGUCAGGGAUUAUAUUUGUCUAUGGUCCAAGUUGCUGUUUUUCCUGGAAGAUGAAUGCAUUCAGGGAUCAUUCUGUUAUUUCUGUGAUCUCAAUUGAGUCGUUUUUCCAAGAUAUGGCAGGCUCCAGCCCUGAAAAGAGUCUGUCUUUAGGUCCUUUGUUUUAAAAUAGGAUUACAUUACUCUAGCACCAUUAAUAAAGGGAUUUUCUGGCAAAACAUGAGUUACCAAGGCAAGAUUUUGAACGUAUUACCAUAGAGCAUGGUUAAAAAACAUUUUUCUGCACAAUAUUUUGAAAUUGUGGUAUGCUGUUUCGUAAUGUAUAUAGCUGAGUCUACACACAAAUUGUGUUUAAUAAUACAGAACUCUGGGCCAGGAGUGGCGGCUCAUGCCUGUAAUCCCAGAACUUUGAGAUGCUGAGGCAGGUGGAUCACAAGGUCAGGAGUUCAAGACCAGCCUGGCCAAUAUGGUGAAACCCCAUCUCUACUAAAAAUACAGUAUUAGCGGGGCGUGGUGGCCAGUGCCUGUAAUCCCAGCUACUUGGGAGGCUGAGACAGGAUAAUUGCUUGAACCUGGGAGACAGAGGUUGCAGUAAACUGAGAUUGUGCCAUUGUACUCUAUCCUUGGUGACAGAGCAAGACUCCAUCUCAGAAAAAAUAAAAUAAAAUAAUAAUACAGAAGUCUGAAUCAGAUGCUUAGGGUUUGUUGAGCCGUACAAAUGGAGUUCAAAUCCCCUUAUUGCCAUAUACUCUCCAAAAGAUUUCACCAAAGUUACUUUUCUGAGCUUACGUUUUUCACCUAUAAAAUGGGGAUAGUAAUAUCACUAUCCUCAUAGAACUGUCUUAGGGAUUAAAUGAAAGAGUAAACUGUAAAAACACUUAGCAAGUGCCUGGUGUUAUGUGUCCAGUAAAUGUUAGGUUUUAAAAUUCUUGUGUUGAAUUUCUUCAUUGUUUCCUAUCUUUUAUUCUGGUUAAUUCACUUAAUGCUUAUGAAAAAGCUUGUAACAUUCUCUAGUUCCCCUUCAUUCAUGCAGAAUAUCUUGAUAAAUACUGUUAGUUAAUGAUAUAUUAUAUAUUUUAUUUUUUUAAUAAAGACAAGGUCUCACUCAGACACUCCUGCACUCAGGCUGGAGUACAGUGAUAUGUGUGAUCAUAGCUCACUAUAACCUUAAACUCUUGGGCUCAAGCAGUCCUCUUGCCUCAGCCUCCUGAGUAGCUAGGACUAAGGCAUGUGCCAUUAUGACUGGCUAAUCUUUAAAAAUUUUCUGUAGAGAUGGGAUCUCACUGUGUUACCCAGGCUGCUCUCACACUCCUGGCCUCAAGUGAUCCCCUCACCUCAGCCUCCAAAGUGCUGGCAUUAUAGGCGUGAGCCAUGGCGCCUGUCCCUAUUCUUAACUGCACAUUUUCGGAAGCAGUGCUAAAAGGGAAUCAUUAAUAAUGAAGUUAAAUUCAUAGGAUUUAUGGCACAAACAUUAUCCCUCUGGGCUCUGAGUUUGAGUGGAGGGCCUUUUUGUUUGGAGGCCAGAUAUAUAAGCAUUAACUCAAGAUGGCAGCUGGUAGGGCACAAAAUUGAAAGGAGGAGGCAAGAUUGCCACCUGGUGCUAGAAAGACUGAGGCAGAUAUAAUACAGCCAUCAAACAACCUGUUCUCUUCUUCUCCUCCCCUCAGUAUUUGACAACACAAAUUAAAAGCUUUAUAAUGAACUUACCUGAUUUACAGAUAAAGAUAACAAAACUCUGACAAGGAGGCACAAGUUUCAUAACCGUUAAUACCUGACAUCUAGGAUUCAAACCAAUGGUUUCCUGACUCCAAAGGUUUUAUCACUAUACUGAUGCUGGUGCUUGGGAAAUGCUGGGAGUUACUCCCUGCAAAUACAUCUUCCUUGAACACAGAAAGUAAUGUUCAGGAUAAUUGUUCACUGGUUGUUAGGCUGUUUCCUUUAUUUUGAUCACAAAAUCAUACAAUGCUAGCACUGUAAAAGAUCUUAAAAUUCCUACUGCCUUAUUUUUGGAUGAAGCAACUGAGGCCCAGGAAGAACCAAGGGCUUGUCUGGUGUUUCAUAGUUGGCUCGUGGCAGUAUUAAGGCUGGGAAGAACCUCAUUCUGUGUCAUGUCUGCGGUGUUCAAAAUCUGCUCUGCAUUCUGAUGUUAUCACUUUUAGGGUUCCAGGCCAUUUAUUUCCUUUCUAGUCUUAAUAAGGUUUAUAUUAUUAUUAUAGCUUUUUGGACUGUUUUACAUUUAUAUACAAAAUCACUUUAUAUUUUAAAACAUACACCUUUAUUCACUUGUGUUGGUGAAUUGGGGGGAAUAAUGGAAGAGUUUAAAGUUGCUGUUUAUUCACAAGUCACUAAGCUGUGAAGAAACACAACUGGUUAUAAAAGUGAAAUUUUACUGAAAAUUGUAAUGUUCAUUGUGUGAUAGAAUGGAGUGUCCCCUUUAAAUCAAGGUAAAGUAAACAUAUUUAUAUUUUAAAUACUCUGAAAAAGUGAAAGCAAUUUAAGGACAUGUAAUUCUCUAAACAUUAAUUUUAAUUAUGUGGAUAGACCUGCCAGUUUAAUUUAAUGAGUCAGAUCUUUGCUUUUUAUUCCACAGAUCUUCACAGUAUUUCUCAUUUGGAAAUCAAAGUGCAUAUUCAUGUACCUGUGACAUAUAGAAACAACUAUGUUUCUUGAUACACUCCCAAAUACUCUGUGAUAUUUGCAUCAAAAUUAUCAAAAUUCUUUCUUUCUGAAAAAAAAAGCAUUGAAAACGGAUACUAGAAUUUGUCAACAUCUUCACUGGGCUUCUUUUUUUUUUUUAAUGCAACAAAUAGAAUUUGUAAAGUUGAUGAUUUUCGUUCCUUCCUGCUGUGUGUUUUGUUUGGAUGAGUAUGAAAGAAGGCGGACCAUGUUCAGAACCACUUGGGGUGUUCCUCUCCUUCUAAUCCAUGGGAAAUAGGUGUGCCUAGCUAGUAAAAGAGGAGUAAGAAAUAACUGGAGUGGAAUUUCUGGUACUGUGAACAAUUUUUCAUUCCUAGGGUGUCAUAAACUAAGGCUAUUCCCUCUAUAAGAUAACAGAUUUUGAAAAAUUACAUGAAACCUGUUAUUUCAUGUAAUAAAGUUGAAAAUACAGCCUGUCUGAAAAUUAGUUGUUUUGCUGCCUCUGAAUUUGCUCAAUCACUUUGUGGCUUCAUUUAGAAAGAUGCCCUAAUCUUUUGUCUUUUUGUCAGUGAUGCAUCUAUAUUUGGGUGAUUUUCUAGGUUGUUGACAUAUUUGAUGCUAUAAUUUCAAAAUUCAUAGUACUGAUUACUGCUUUAGUUGGGAAAUAAGACAGUAUCUCAGAAAGCAGGAAUUUAAAGAUAUGCUGUACUCUACAGAUAACCGUCGAUAGCCUCUUUCCCCACACUUAGCCUGUCAUUUCUGUUGUUCAUGUAGUUUUCUAGGUAGUUAACCAUACUUCAUACAAGUUGUGGUUCCAGUUCUGCUCUUUUGGGUUUUCUAUUCAUAAACAGCAAUCUCCUGAAGAUAAAAGAAGGCUCUUCCUCUUUAAGCAGCAGACAGAAAUAUAGUUUUUUUUUGGGGGUUUGAAUUUUCAUGUGUAAUUACUGCAGUUGUCUGUAGGAGACUCUUGUGGUUUUUCUCAGCUACCUUUCUUAAAGACAUAUGCAGAUAGCCAGAUAGCGCACAUGGCACUGACCUACUGUGGGGGACUCACAGUUUUGAGACUUAGGGAGCGUAUCGCCACUUCCGUCAUUGAAUGCCAGUCCCAGAGCAGUUGCAUUAGGCUGGAGGACUGGAGGUGGAGCCUUUUUUGCUCACGGCAGCAAGUUCCCUUCUCUUUUCUCUCCCCUGGCGGCGGCGCGUGCAUUGGCUCUUCAAGCUGCCUGUGCUGCUCCGUGGAGUGAAAAAGGCAGGGUGUGCUCACAGACUGUGCUACAAACUGCAGUUUCUAUUUGGGGUGCUCACAGAGAAGAACACCAGGAAAGACAGACAGGACCAGUGCCAUGGGCCAGCUUUGCUGCUUUCCUUUCUCAAGAGAUGAAGGAAAAAUCAUGGGUGGAGCCAGCUGCCUUCAUUAGAAUAAAUAUUGUUUAUUCAACCCAAGUAUAAAUGGAAAAAAAGAUGUGCCCUCUGUCAUUGAGGGUUGACUAACUGAAGAGUUCAAGCGCAGCAAAGAGAAGUGUCAG